rnacentral:rRNA from 1 species
UUACCAACUCCCGGCACGGGGAGGUAGUGACGAAAAAUAACGAUACGGGACUCAUCCGAGGCCCCGUAAUCGGAAUGAGUACACUCUAAACCCUUUAACGANNAUCAAUUGGAGGGCAAGUCUGGUGCCAGGAGCCGCGGUAAUUCCAGCUCCAAUAGCGUAUAUUAAAGUUGUUGCGGUUAAAAAGCUCGUAGUCGAAUUUGUGUCUCGUGCCGCCGGUUCAUNNUCGCGCGGUGUUAACUGGCGAGUCGCGAGACNUCCUGCCGGUGGGCUUNGCUCGCAAGGGCGGCCCAACUCAAUCCUGCCGCGGUGCUCUUCAUUGAGUGUCGAGGUGGGCCGGCACGUUUACUUUGAACAAAUUAGAGUGCUUAAAGCAGGCUAAAACUUCGCCUGAAUACUGUGUGCAUGGAAUAAUGGAAUAGGACCUCGGUUCUAUUUUGUUGGUUUUCGGAACCCCGAGGUAAUGAUUAAUAGGAACGGAUGGGGGCAUUCGUAUUGCGACGUUAGAGGUGAAAUUCUUGGAUCGUCGCAAGACGGACAGAAGCGAAAGCAUUUGCCAAAAACGCUUUCAUUGAUCAAGAACGAAAGUUAGAGGUUCGAAGGCGAUCAGAUACCGCCCUAGUUCUAACCAUAAACGAUGCCAGCNAGCGAUCCGUCGACGUUCCUCCGAUGACUCGACNGGCAGCUUCCGGGAAACCAAAGCUUUUGGGUUCCGGGGGAAGUAUGGUUGCAAAGCUGAAACUUAAAGGAAUUGACGGAAGGGCACCACCAGGAGUGGAGCCUGCGGCUUAAUUUGACUCAACACGGGAAACCUCACCAGGCCCGGACACCGGAAGGAUUNACAGAUUGAGAGCUCUUUCUUGAUUCGGUGGGUGGUGGUGCAUGGCCGUNCUUAGUUGGUGGAGCGAUUUGUCUGGUUAAUUCCGAUAACGAACGAGACUCUAGCCUGCUAACUAGGCGUAUUUUGACAUCCUAAAGGCCCGCCGGCUUGGGG